AUUGAACGCUGGCGGCAGGCCUAACACAUGCAAGUCGAACGGUAGCACAGAGAGCUUGCUCUCGGGUGACGAGUGGCGGACGGGUGAGUAACGUCUGGGAAACUGCCCGAUGGAGGGGGAUAACUACUGGAAACGGUAGCUAAUACCGCAUAACGUCGCAAGACCAAAGUGGGGGACCUUCGGGCCUCACACCAUCGGAUGUGCCCAGAUGGGAUUAGCUAGUAGGUGGGGUAAUGGCUCACCUAGGCGACGAUCCCUAGCUGGUCUGAGAGGAUGACCAGCCACACUGGAACUGAGACACGGUCCAGACUCCUACGGGAGGCAGCAGUGGGGAAUAUUGCGCAAUGGGCGCAAGCCUGAUGCAGCCAUGCCGCGUGUAUGAAGAAGGCCUUCGGGUUGUAAAGUACUUUCAGCGGGGAGGAAGGCGGUGAAGUUAAUAACUUCACCGAUUGACGUUACCCGCAGAAGAAGCACCGGCUAACUCCGUGCCAGCCGCCGCCGUAA
rnacentral:rRNA from 1 species